CGAACGCUGGCGGUGCGCCUUAUGCAUGCAAGUUGAGCGAAGCUUUUUGGUAGUUUACUACUAGAAAUGACUGAGCGGCGAACGGGUGAGUAACGCGUGAGCAAUCUACCUUAGUUACUGGGAUAGCCCGAGGAAACUCGGAUUAAUACCGGAUAUUCUUAUUUUUUCACAUGAAGUUUUAAGGAAAGGUCAGCCGAACUAAGAUGAGCUCGCGUUCUAUCAGCUAGUUGGUGGGGUAAAAGCCUACCAAGGCUACGACGGAUAGCUGGUCUGAGAGGACGAUCAGCCACACUGGGACUGAGACACGGCCCAGACUCCUACGGGAGGCUGCAGCAGGGAAUAUUGUGCAAUGAGCGAAAGCUUGACACAGCGACACCGCGUGUGGGAUGACGGUUCUAGGAUUGUAAACCACUUUCAGGAGGGAAGAAAAUGACGGUACCUCCACAAGAAGACCCGGCCAACUA
rnacentral:rRNA from 1 species